UCUUGGACGCCAUCUUCUCCCCGCCUCCUACUACAGCUCCCAGCAGCCCCCGCGAAGGCACGCACAAUAAUGGCGAGCGCGCUGCUGCCCCGUGGGCAGGUGGUGGUUAACCACAGGGGGUUGGACUACUCUCAGUUUACACCAGAGUAACUCCAACUGACCUCUGAAGCACAAUAUUUAAAUGCCGUUCCAGGAAAGCUGAUAAUUUAUCCAUGAAAUGCCUUGAAUCAGUCUCUCCAGCUCCAGCACGGCAGUAGCCAGCGCUGAGGAGAAGUGAGCCAACACAAAGUCAGCAGCCUGCCCGACUUGCACAGAGGUGAUGCUUCCAGAUGGCCACCCAGAAGAGGCUCUUUGAGAAAGAAGGUGCACUGUGCCUGACAGGAGAAGCAAAUUAUUUCUGGAAACAGAAAAACACUCUGACAAUUGCAGUAUCAGGAAGCAUAUCUUUGAAAGAGCAAUGCACAGAGACGGUCAAGAUCACAAAGGACUUGUAGGAAGUAAUUAUAAAAUACUAGUGCCACAUUGAAAGACAUGUUGGAAUGAAUUCCCUACCAUACUGGAGGAACACUAGUUAUAGUCAUAAAAAUAUAAACCAGUCUGUGUUUUAUGUCUGGUUUUGUUUCUUCCUUUGAACUGAGUCUUCUUACACCAUAUGGCAGCUACUGAAUUUUAAAAAUAUUUCCCCAAAGACAAGAACUCAUAAAGGUCCUUCAUUCUGUGAAAAUUGUAGAAGUCAAGCAUGGUUUUAUACUAAUAGUACUACCAAUUUUGCAUUUAAUUUAUAAACCAAUUAAUAGUUGUAUGCUGUUAAUGUGGUUUUCAAAAAUAAAAAUGAAAGUAAAAACAACCAGCAAAGGUGCCACUUCAAAUGAGCUUAGUUUAUAAUUACUUCUGAAGUAGUAACUCUGCAUAUCAGUUCAGAAAAGCUUUUACAGGAGCGAAUAAAUAGAUUCCCUAGUUGCUCUUUACUCCUCUGCAAACAUGUAUUUCUAUUG